ensembl:lncRNA
CGGACCGACCAAUGGGAGCGCGGAGGAAAAGGGGCGGCCGCGGAGCUGGAGCCGCCAUGAUGGCACCAGCGGGAUGGUGGAGCUGUGGGGUUCUGUGCGAGGAAAGCGGUGCUUCGUCGCCCUACGUCCCCGCCGCCGCCUGCCCUGUGCCUCGGGUGUCGCCGGGCGGUCAGGGGAAGUCGGCGCAGGGGCACCUGCUGGCCCUAUUCGUCCCUCGUCAGAAUCCAGCCAUCCUCCGGAGGGGGUACCGAGCUGUCCUCCGUCGUUGCAGCGGGGCACUGCUGGGCUGUGAGAAGCGGCGGCUGACCACGAGCAGCGGAACCCUCCCAGUCUCCGGCAGCAGCUCCUGGCUGAGCCGGGCAGCCCUGAAAGAGAGGGACUGAUCCCACGGGUCGAGACGUGUUCAAGCCUGGCAGAGGUUCAGGCGAGCGCCUUCGGUUCUUGCUUGGCUCAAAUCAGCAGCAGCGAGUGCUGAGUUCCUGCCCCGCAGGUGGAGUCCUCAACUGCUGUUUUCCCAUGCAUAAAUAUAGAAAGUUUACCUAAAGGACAAGUGAUGGAGUGAUGGGGAUUAUUCAAGACCCCCUUUUUACUGUAAUGAAAAGAAUCUCAAAAAGAAUUGUUAGUACCAAUAAAUGACACUAGAUGACAGCAGAGACCAUAAAAUACUAAUUUUGCUGGUCUUAAAUGCAGAAACAUUUCAUUCCCACAAAGCUGCAAGAGGGGAACGAUUGUUAGGAUGGCAACUGGUUGGGAAUAUGGUCAUUUAUCUGCUUAUUGCUCUGUAUGUUAAAUGAUUAAAUGUUUAGCAUUCAUUUUUCUACAUUUCUGCCUGCAGUUCAUUCUGCAGCUCCAAAG